UACGGGGGGGGUAAGCGUUGUUCGGAAUUACUGGGCGUAAAGGGCGCGUAGGCGGUCUUGCAAGUCCUGUGUGAAAUCCCUCGGCUCAACUGAGGAACUGCACAGGAAACUGCUUGGCUUGAGUUCGGGAGAGGGAAGCGGAAUUCCGGGUGUAGCGGUGAAAUGCGUAGAUAUCCGGAGGAACACCGGUGGCGAAGGCGGCUUCCUGGACCGACACUGACGCUGAGGCGCGAAAGCUAGGGGAGCAAACGGG
rnacentral:rRNA from 1 species